AACGAACGCUGGCGGCAUGCCUAACACAUGCAAGUCGAACGAGACCUUCGGGUCUAGUGGCGCACGGGUGCGUAACGCGUGGGAACCUGCCCUUAUGUUCGGAAUAACUCCCCGAAAGGGGUGCUAAUACCGGAUAAUGUCUUCGGACCAAAGAUUUAUCGCCGUUGGAUGGGCCCGCGUUGGAUUAGCUAGUUGGUAGGGUAAAAGCCUACCACGGCGACGAUCCAUAGCUGGUCUGAGAGGAUGAUCAGCCACACUGGGACUGAGACACGGCCCAGACUCCUACGGGAGGGAGCAGUGGGGAAUAUUGGACAAUGGGCGAAAGCCUGAUCCAGCAAUGCCGCGUGAGUGAUGAAGGCCUUAGGGUUGUAAAGCUCUUUUACCCGGGAUGAUAAUGACAGUACCGGGAGAAUAAGCGCCGGCUAACUCCGUG
rnacentral:rRNA from 1 species